GCACUAUUCUCACUAAGGCAGUUCAUAUUAUACACUUAGAAGAAUAUCGAAGAAAUUAACGAGGCCCCAGUGCAAGAAUGAUACACAUAUUUUUGAAUCACUCCCAUUAUUU
rnacentral:snRNA from 1 species